CCUACGGGUGGCUGCAGUGGGGAAUAUUGGACAAUGGGGGCAACCCUGAUCCAGCCAUGCCGCGUGUGUGAAGAAGGCCCUCGGGUUGUAAAGCACUUUCAGUGAGGAAGAACGCCUGGUGGUUAAUACCCAUCAGGAAAGACAUCACUCACAGAAGAAGCACCGGCUAACUCCGUGCCAGCAGCCGCGGUAAUACGGAGGGUGCGAGCGUUAAUCGGAAUUACUGGGCGUAAAGCGCGCGUAGGUGGCUUGAUAAGCCGGUUGUGAAAGCCCCGGGCUCAACCUGGGAACGGCAUCCGGAACUGUCAAGCUAGAGUGCAGGAGAGGAAGGUAGAAUUCCCGGUGUAGCGGUGAAAUGCGUAGAGAUCGGGAGGAAUACCAGUGGCGAAGGCGGCCUUCUGGACUGACACUGACACUGAGGUGCGAAAGCGUGGGUAGCAAACAGGAUUAGAUACCCCGGUAGUA
rnacentral:rRNA from 1 species